rnacentral:rRNA from 2 species
UAAGGAAUAUUGGUCAAUGGAGGGAACUCUGAACCAGCCAUGCCGCGUGCAGGAUGACUGCCCUCUGGGUUGUAAACUGCUUUUGUACGGGAACAACCGUCUCUACGUGUAGAGGCCUGAGUGUACCGUAAGAAUAAGGAUCGGCUAACUCCGUGCCAGCAGCCGCGGUAAUACGGAGGAUCCAAGCGUUAUCCGGAUUUAUUGGGUUUAAAGGGUGCGUAGGCGGGCAUUUAAGUCAGGGGUGAAAUUUUUCGGCUCAACCGGAAGCUUGCCUUUGAUACUGAUUGCCUUGAAUAUCGUUGAGGACGGCGGAAUGGGACAAGUAGCGGUGAAAUGCAUAGAUAUGUCCCGGAACCCCGAUUGCGAAGGCAGCUGUCCAAGCGAUGAUUGACGCUGAUGCACGAAAGCGUGGGGAUCGAACAGG